rnacentral:rRNA from 1 species
UACGGAGGGUGCAAACGUUGCUCGGAAUCAUUGGGCGUAAAGCGCACGUAGGCGGUUUGCCAAGUCGGAUGUGAAAGCCCUGGGCUCAACCCAGGAAGUGCAUUCGAAACUAGCAGACUUGAAUAUGGAAGAGGGUUGCGGAAUUCCCGGUGUAGAGGUGAAAUUCGUAGAUAUCGGGAGGAACACCAGUGGCGAAGGCGGCAACCUGGGCCAAUAUUGACGCUGAGGUGCGAAAGCGUGGGGAGCAAACAGG